CUCCGGCUAAGCAUGUCAGCUAGAUGGGUUUGACCUUUUCCUGGAAAACAAGGGAGAUGAGAACACGUGAUGUGUGCGCAAACUGAUGCUCAAAUGGGCUAUUUUAGCCAACACUUCAAGAUACAUGCUUCGCUAAACUGGCUGAGAACACACCGGAGCGUUUCCAGUGAGGGCUUUUUAAGGCAUUUAAGAGUCUUGCUAUCUUCAAAAUAUGUAUGUGACACAGUAAAGGUAUGACAGAAGACAGCCUGCAGGAGCCAGUUCUCUCCAUCCACCAUGUGGUUACUGGGGGAUCAAAUUCAGAUCAGCAGGUUUGGUGGUACCCUCGGCUUGUUUACACCCUGGAUGAUAAGAAUAAGAAGCUCCGGAUGUGGCGUCAAGAACUUCAGUGCCUCUGUCGUCUGGAUCCCGGGUGAUUGAGAGACUGCAGGAAUUUUUAGAGAUAAAUCUCAUCAACAGUAACCCUAACUAAGAUGUGCGUCGUGUGAGAAAAUGAAUAUUUUCAAAGGUUCAUCUUGAGAAUAGGAGCCGUAUUUUCAACGGCAAAUCAACCAAAUCAAAACUGCCAAGAACAUGUGUAAUAAGAAGGAAGAUGUGUAAUAAGAAGCCACAUCAAAAUGUCCGCAGGGAUUUCCUCUGGGCUGUGACCUGGGGUUGGUCUGUGUCUUCUUGUCUUUUCCUUGCCUGCAAAUUUC
rnacentral:lncRNA from 1 species